ensembl:snRNA U6 U6 spliceosomal RNA
UAUUUUAGAAUAGGUGUCUUGCUGACUUUGGAACAAUCUAAAGCAAAUUAGCAUGGAUUCUGUGCAAGGAUGACCCCAAAAUUCAUGAAGUGUUCCAUAUUUUG